AGAGUUUGAUCCUGGCUCAGAGUGAACGCUGGCGGCAGGCCUAACACAUGCAAGUCGAACGGCAGCACAGGAGAGCUUGCUCUCUGGGUGGCGAGUGGCGGACGGGUGAGGAAUACAUCGGAAUCUACCUUUUCGUGGGGGAUAACGUAGGGAAACUUACGCUAAUACCGCAUACGACCUUCGGGUGAAAGCAGGGGACCUUCGGGCCUUGCGCGAUUAGAUGAGCCGAUGUCGGAUUAGCUAGUUGGUGAGGUAAAGGCUCAUCAAGGCGACGAUCCGUAGCUGGUCUGAGAGGAUGAUCAGCCACACUGGAACUGAGACACGGUCCAGACUCCUACGGGAGGCAGCAGUGGGGAAUAUUGGACAAUGGGCGCAAGCCUGAUCCAGCCAUGCCGCGUGGGUGAAGAAGGCCUUCGGGUUGUAAAGCCCUUUUGUUGGGAAAGAAAAGCAGUCGAUUAAUACUCGAUUGUUCUGACGGUACCCAAAGAAUAAGCACCGGCUAACUUCGUGCCAGCAGCCGCGGUAAUACGAAGGGUGCAAGCGUUACUCGGAAUUACUGGGCGUAAAGCGUGCGUAGGUGGUGAUUUAAGUCCGUUGUGAAAGCCCUGGGCUCAACCUGGGAAUUGCAGUGGAUACUGGGUCACUAGAGUGUGGUAGAGGGUAGCGGAAUUCCCGGUGUAGCAGUGAAAUGCGUAGAGAUCGGGAGGAACAUCUGUGGCGAAGGCGGCUACCUGGACCAACACUGACACU
rnacentral:rRNA from 1 species